rnacentral:rRNA from 1 species
AUGUGUGUACCAAAGAGGAAAGGGGGAUUGGGGUUUAGAGACCUUCACAAUUUUAAUCUUGCUAUGUUAGCAAAACAGUGUUGGCGACUACUCCAGAACCCGGAUUCUUUAUGUGCACGUGUGUUGAGCGCUAAAUACUAUCCUAAUGGGAUCAUUUUUAAGGUUGGUCCAAAGAAGGGGUCAUCAUAUAUGUGGCAAAGAAUUGUUUCUGGUAUUCAGACUUUUCAGAGAGGCUGCAUAUGGCGUGUCGGAACGGGACCGCAAAUAAAUAUAUGGCAUGAUCCAUGGAUCCCAUCAAGCCCGUCGCGAAAGGUUAUUACCUCAAGAGGUGCAACAAUGCUUAGAUAUGUGGAGGAGCUCAUAAACCCACACACGGGCCAUUGGGACGAAAUCUUGAUUAGAGAUGUUUUUUCGCGAGUGGAUGCUUACAGGAUCUUGCAAAUACCACUAAAUGUCCAGCUCAUGGAGGACUUCGUGGCUUGGAACUACAUGAAGGAAAUAUGCCCUAGAGGCAAUAAUAAAGUUGUUAUUUUAUAUUUCCUUAUUCAUGAUAAAGGUUUAUUAUUCAUGCUAGAAUUGUAUUGA